CCAGAGCAAACAGUUCACUUUACCAGCAGGCUUUCUUAAGAAUUGGCUAGGAUUAUCAUAUUCUUAAGAAAGCUUCAUCUGUGAAAUAGCAAAAUGUAAACAUUUCUUCUCAUAAAAGCAGGAAAAGAAUAUUUACCUGAACCCUGGAGGCUUGGAAAGUUACCUAAAAUAUGUCCCCCGUGCUUUGCCCUACUUGGCAGCCUGGGGAGUCAAAGGACAGAAAUUUCAACAGACUCCAUGAAGCAAACUGGAUCACAACUCAUUCAUUCUCCCACGUGUGAUAUAUUAUAGUGAAUCUAAAAUCCACUUCUGUGUUAUUUAAGUGUGAUACCUCCACUCCAGUUCUUCCAAAUCUUUUGAAAUCACCACAGCAAAGGGCAGACAGAUCAUGAAAGAAGAAGGAUACCAACCACUCUCCAGUGAACAGCAAAGUAGACUUCAUAGAUUAAAAUAAAAGUGUACAAAGUUGUGAGCACAGAAGAAGGAGGGUGAACCUGGGCAGAGAUGAGGAGGAAAGGGUUAUAUCAAAACACAUUGUACAGGAUUCCCAAAAAGCUAGUAAAAAUGAGAUAAGGAAAAGAAAAUACCACAA